rnacentral:rRNA from 1 species
AACGAACGUUGGCGGCGUGGAUUAGGCAUGCAAGUCGCACGAGAAAGGUUUCUUCGGAAGCCGAGUAAAGUGGCGGACGGGUGAGUAAUGAAUGGAUAACUUGCCCUUGAGAUGGGGACAACGCCUCGAAAGGGGUGCUAAUACCCAAUACUGCCGUGGGUCGUCGGAUCUGCGGUGAAAGGAGGCCUCUGAUUCAAGCUUCCGCUCAAGGAGAGGUUCAUGUCCUAUUAGCUUGUUGGCGGGUAACGGCCCACCAAGGCUUCGAUGGGUAGCCGACCUGAGAGGGUGACCGGCCACAUUGGGACUGAGACACUGCCCAGACUCCUACGGGAGGCUG